GGCCACAUCCGGCCCUUUGGCUGUCCGUGACCGGCCCGUGAGAGGUUGAUUGGAAAUUACAAAGUAAAUAUUUUUGUCUAAUUUUACCUCAUGCAUGGACUAAAGCUGCAGUGCUUUUAUUCUUCUCCUUGGCUUUGGACGAGAGCUCACUGAGGAGCUGGCAGCACUGCGCUCAAUGAAAGUGAUAACGACAGGGAGCGAUUUAUUCACAGAGGUAGAUGCAUGCACAAACAUGCUGGGUCUGAAAUGGGACCAAUUUGCAGGUGUCACAACAGAGGCCUGUCCAAGUCCUGUCAAUAUUUUUGCAUUUUAUAAAUGUGGUGACCCCUGCUGUGGAGGCAGCAGCUUUCCAGUGGGAUUUUGUGGGCUGGGUUUGGUGAUUGAAGGCACCUGGGCCCGGUUCCCUGAGAUUAAAAGACCCAGUGUUCAUUCUCUCUUCUCUCUCCAGCAGACGUCCGGUGGUGUGGUCGUGUACCUUUUUUUCGUUGGCUUAUGUUAAAUAAAGAAGAUGUUAAAACUCUUUAAAGCAGUACAACUCCAAUCUUGUCAUGGCCCAAAGAGCCAGGUUGUGACAUAAUACAUCAGCCUGUGUUGCAAGUCAAAAAUUAACCAUGUCAUUGAUGUUGUCACUAAAAUAUUUAACUUCAUCAGGGCACAACCAUUGAAUCACAGACAGUUUGCUACACUUUUGGAGGAGCAUGAGAAUGAACAUUGUGACAUAGGCUACGACACAGCACAGUCAUGAUUUGAUUGUUAUAUAUGUAAACUAUUUAAAAUCUAUAACACCCCAAUAAUGCAACUAAAACAUCAAAAAUGGUUAGGGUGGUGUUCUUGUAUAUUUACCCAAGUGCUUUCCUGUGUUAUUUUUAGGCUAUAGUAUCAAUAUAAAACAUAUUUUACUGUAGGAUGCCUUAGCCUGGAAUCAACCAAGGCCUGCAGUGUGAGCUAUUUUGCAUCGGAAUUACAUGAGGGCAAAGGGAAAAAUUGCCCAUAAGAAAUAUCAUUUUGCCCCAAAUAUCACUACGAAAGGGGCCAAAAAUGCCAUUGAAUGUUUUUGAGUCUCGCCUUGACUGUUGUUCCGUGUGCGGGAAGGAUCAAACGUUCUUAAAAAGAAAAAAGGAGCACUUCUUGAUCAGACCUGUGAGUUCGCAGAGAGCAAAUCCAGUCUCCGUCACCAUCUCAGGUCCAAAAGAAAAAGGCCCUCAAAUUUAGCAACAACCAAUGUCGUUGUCUACUGGGGAAUUCUUCUGCUGACUUUAUCAAGUGGAGCAAAAACAACAAGAAAUACGUGUCCUUUCGUCACCAGGCAACCGAGCAACAUAGUGGGUGAUAACCAGAGGUUUCAAAAGUUUUCACAUUCAUUACUCAAGUAGAAGUAUAGAUACUUCUGUUGAAGUAUCAACUCAAGCUUUUAACUUAAGUAAAAAUACUGAUUGUGUAGGUGUAAGGGGAAAUAAUUCCAUCAAGUACAAAGUCUUAAUGUGUAAUCUCGCUCACAGAACAUGUCAGUCCAUUACAAUAGACAAUAAUAAUUCAGAUCAUGUGAACCUGCCGUUCGGAUGAUGUAAACAUGGUGAUGUUCAGAGAGGCAAUGCUAAAACAUAGGGACACAUGCUCAAACAAAUAAAACGCCCCUGGAUACUUCCGGUUAAGUUAACCAUCAUGUGUUGAUGAUGUCACAGAGGUGCGCGGUUUUGUGAAAUAAUAAAGAUGGACGGAUACAGCGCCAAUGACUAAUAUUAGUACUACGUGUUUUACUUGGACAAUUAAAUGUCAGUGGACACUCACAAAUACUACAGCCCCCAUCACGAUUACAAUUAUUCACUCCUCAGUGCGCGGUUUCGCCCACCAGCGGAACCCCUCCGCCCCUAAACCCGGCCGGUCCGCCCGCAACUUUCAACGUGCUUAUUAACUGACGGACCUUCUUGCGGUCCGCGAAAAAGGUUAUUAAUAGUAUAUUAAGUUGACGCUUUGUUGCGUAAAAUAAAGACCAAACGAAAAGAAUAAAAUGAUCUUCUGUCAUUCACGUAAGAAAAUAAACUCACGUGUCUGCAGCUCAAUAACAACACCGAAGGAACAACGUCUCGACCCCGGUUUAAGUCUCCAGCAGACGAGGAGUAGCCUCGUUAGCAGUUUAGCUAGCUAUCACUUAUCGCUCUCCCAUGUUUGAAAUAUCUAACCGUCCUGCCUCCACAUAAGGUUAUGUCCCAGGUGUGGUCGUGAAAAGCAAGUUCCAUUUUUAUGUAUGCAUCAAUGCAUUCCAACUAAUGAGGCUUGCUAGCUACCCUUAGUUAACGGUUCACAGACUGCUGUCAGUGAGAAAUGUUUCCACUCUCCUAUAGGGUUGGGUACCGAGAACCGGUACUAAUAUAGCACCGGUUCCUACGCGGUACCUACCGUACUGAAAUGCAACGCAGAUUUCGGUGCUUAGUUUCGGUUCCUGAGCCGAUUGAAAAAAUGUAUUUACACACUCUGAUGACACCGUCCUCUCAGCAGCAAACGAUAGCCUACCGUGUGGCAAGCUAGCCAUCACCCUUCUAUUCUAUUUAUUUAAGUCAGUAUUUCCCUCCCUCUUUCAGCACGCGGCACUAUCGCCCAGACAGAUGCAGGCACACUAUUGCGCGCACACACAGACACGUGCGCAUACACAGGAGAGCUGCGCUCUCCAGCGGACACAGAGCGUGAGUCCGCAACUACCGCACCCCUCCCGUCGGACAGCCCCCCACUGAAGUAUUAAACAGAGGGUGUAACGACGUUCCUUCGGUGCUGUUCGCCAUUAAGCCACAUUGAGCUGCAGACACGUGACUCCAUUUCUUCACGCAAAUGACGGCAGAUCGUUUGAUUCUUUUCGUCUUUAUUUUACACAGCAUAGCGUUAACUAAACAUAGAAAUAAUAAUAAAUUCUAUCACAUGGUGGAUAAACAAUAUGCUCUUUUGCUUAAUCAGAAAUAAUUUUAAAUGCACCGGUUUAGCACUGAAAAACCCCCCGAUACCAAUCCCUACUCUCCUCAAAGGUUACUGACAUCUUGUGGUUAACAGCCAAUCGUGUAUUUGGAUAAAACACAAUUAGUUGAGACUGUAGUUGAUUGAGGGUUUCAAGGUUUAAAUUAGUUUUGUUUUUACAGAAGCAUGGCGUAAUCAUCUCAAUAAACGAGAGCCAACUUUGGUUGCUGUGAAUCUGAUCUAGAAGACAGCGUUCUGCAAAAUAGUCAAGCUGUUUGACAUCUCUUAACACGAGAAACGAUAAAAGAAAUAAAAAGAAAAUUGAAUGAGUCUGAUUAAUGUUUUCUGUUUUGAUUCAAAGAAUCUUAAGAAAAACCCUUUAGAUUUGUAAACUACUGCCUAAUAGUCUCAUUACUGCCAUUUUAUGGCAAUUACAUAUACAUCCAAAUGUAGUCCAAAUAAGUAUAUUUAAUCGUUUUAACAAAGGUAUUAUGUUAUUUCACUAGUUUAAUGAAAAAAUGCCGCCAAUUUUUUGAUAAAACAACCCUGCUUUUCAGUUAGUGGGGGCAAGUGCGUAACAAUGCAUUCUUUAGGAAAUAUUGAGAAAAUACCAAUCUAACCCCCCCAAUAUACAUGGUUACGCCCUUGAAUGGGGCCUAAAUAUUAUGUGAAUUUCCUACCCUGCUAUGGCAUGACAUAUUAUGCAGCACGAUAAAGUGUAAUUAAUGUCUACAUUGAAUCAACGGUGCUAGAAUAUUUGGUGUUUGGUUGUCCUCCCCCAAAGCCCAUAUAUAUGGAUAACUUGCCAACGAUAUAAACUAUUUGACAAAAGUAUAUAGAUAACACUGCAAUAAGUAAGACAAAUCUUUCGAUAUGAGACAGGCUGUCUCAGUUGAGUUGGGGUCUGAUAGGCGCAGAUACGAAGACAAUUGGUUGAAGUUGUCAACAUCAAAGGGGGCUGACUUUGGCAGUCUAGAAAGCUUUUGGAAUACACCCUGAAACCAGAGAUGGGGAUGGUGAGAAGAAAUUCAGUCUGAAGAAGAGUAAAUGGGAUUGGGUCAAGGGUGUAUGUGGUGAGGCAGUUAGAGUACAUACUGAAACCUCUUGUGAAGCAACAUAAGGCCUCCUGAUGGUAUCAGCCCCAGGGUGCUGAAGACCUGCGCCAUCCAGCUGUCUAAAGCCCACCAACAUCUCCUUAUUCUGAACCUAAAGCAGCAGGCAGUCCCGAUGCUGUAGGAGACACCGUGGCCUCAAUGACCACUGACUAGUUGCCCUCACAUCCCAUGUGAUGAAGGUGCUGGAGAGGCUGCUCUUGACCCACCUUCAAGCCCAGAUAAAAUCAUCACCGGGCCCUCUGCAAUUUGCAUUGCCUUAUGUGGGAGUGGAUGACGCCAUCAUCUACCUGCUGCCACGAGCCCAGUCGCACCUGGAUGGUGGCUCUAUCCCUUUCUUUGACUUCUCCAAUCAGUGAUUCUGGCGCUUCACAGUUCUGUGUACCUUGUACACAACUCACUUCAGUUAGGGCAGCUCCGACCGCUGGGCGCUACAUGACUUGUAAAAAUAAAUGCUGCAGCCUGCCGAAGAGCAACGUCAGUUUUUACGGCAUAAUGCCGGUAUGAACAGUGCGUGAGUUACCGUAAAACCUUGAUUAAAGACUACAUAGAAGACUGUAAAAAUUGUCAGCCCCUCCCCACUCUUUAUUCUUAAACCGGAAAUAUGAUCAUUAGCGCCUAAAAGAACGUUUUGUGUAUUCUUGUGUGAGUACUACACUUUUAAAUGCUAUUUCCCAUUCUAAAUUCAUAAUUUAUGUCUGCACAUAUAAAUACUUGUUCUGAAUACAAGGGCUUGUAAAUGUAGUAGUUGUAGUUUUUAUUCUUAAAAUAUCAAUGUUUGUCUACAUUUUUAAUUGUUCAAAAAUGCUUCCAGUUUUAUUAGAAAUUAAAUAAAAUACAUAUUAAAAUGUAUACUUAAUUCUAGUUGAGUAAUAUCGUCUCAACUUCACCAGGUAUUUUAUGUAAUCCUUCGGUUUUAGUAAUUACUAUUACCCUUCUACGUUAUUAACAAGGCCCAGCAGAACAGGCUGAGCCCCAAUGCUCCCUCAAGCUAAUGGUGACUGAAGGAGUGGGGGGAUGGGCGAGGGUACGGUGGGGACAGUCAAUGUCAGGUUUUGUGUUAAGAACCUUAAGUUUCGUUUCUUUACACAAAACCGAACUGUUACCAUCCACGUGGGGUCCUCGGUCUGGCCACGCCCCCACCAAGCACCUGCUACCGUCCAUUUCCCUCAGACUGCCGAGCAGCAGACAACGUGACGGUGCUGGCUGCAGAAGCUGGAUAGAAAUGGUGAGUUUUUAAUUAUUGGACUAGCUUCUAAUGUAAAACAGUGCUUUUUACGUUUACUUUGAUACUAUUAAUAUAUGUACUGCCAUAUAAAAUGAGCUGUUGCAAUGUGCUAAACUCAACUUAGAUGGGAAGCUAAUGUUAGCUAACAAUAAGCAAGCAUGUGCAACUAGCACCACAAAUAGUGCUGUUAAGUUUACUUUGAUACUAUUUUCAUAUAUACUGCCAUAUAAAAUGAGCUGUUGCAAUGUGUUAAACUCAACUUAAAUGGACAGCUAAUGUUAGCUAACAAUAAGCAAGCAUGUGCAAGCAGCAGCAUGUGCACGCGUUGUGAAAUAGAAUGCUGGACAGCUAAUUAGUUAUUUAUUAUAUACUUUAUAAAUAUAUUCAUGUUUUAUCAAUAUCUUUUCACACAUAAUGUGAAUAUUAUGCUCAACAAAGGGAGUGUAAUACUUAAUCUGCGUUAAGACCUGGAUUAUAACUAAUUUCCCUUUAACCAUUUUAAGUAUCCUUACGGUGGCUUUUGGGCCUAUAACACUUAAUAAGCAGUUUUCCAUUUGCCCAAAGAGUGAUUGUAAUAUCUACCCAUGUAUAAAUAGGCAUUUUAAUUCAGAUUGUCAUAGGUAUUGAGAUAGAUAAUAUAAUGUUUGUCGUUAAGAACAGAAGUAGAUGUUGUUACUAUAAUGCAUUCCAUAACAGAUAAACUUAAUUCAUUUCAUUAAAAAAAAAAAAAAAGAGUACUGUAAUGAGUUGGAUGUAUAGCUUUGGCUGAAUGUGUCCCUUGUGCUUUUAGGAGGAUGGAGCAUGUUUGCCAUCCAGUAGUGACAGCUCGAAGUGCACAGAUGCUGAUGUCGGAGAAAUGAAGGAGCCUUUGACCGUGAACAUACUAACCAGGUAGUUCCGAUGAAAAGAUGCUGCUGGCUGGAGAGGUCUGGUGAAUCUCACACAAAAAAGGGUCACCACAAACAAAGAAGAAGUGGACCAAAGAGGAAAUCGAAGCUGUUGAAAGGACCUUAAUGGACUACAUCAAUGGUGGUCAGUGGUCAGAAAUGCAUCACAACAUCGUCACUGGCCGAUCAAGGGAUGAGUUGUCAAAAUAUAUAUUAAAAACUGAAUUUAAAAGAAUUAAAAAAAAGGUAAGCCGCAUUUUCAUCAGAUGGAAGAUUAAAUUCCUGGUGGACUGCCAGCACGUUUACAGACAUUGUUUACAGUAGUCUUAUUGCUCCCUGUUCUGUAAUUGUUAACUUUAUAUAAUAUUUGAAAGUUGAUGAUGAUGCUUUAAACUGCAUAGUUUAAAAAAAAUAAAGAUGCAAUAUAUCAAACAAUAUUAUAGAGUGGGGUUUAAUAUACAUAGAUAAUGAGUCAUUAUACAAUGAUAAUGAGUCAUUAUACAAUUAUAACAUUCAAUGGUGUAUAUAUUCAGCAUGAAUUGACAAAAUAUGUAUUAAGUGCCUUAGAGUUUCUAAAAAGUACCCUUUAUUGAGUACCUUACCUUGUUUGAGACACAUUUUGAACACUGCCCCCUGGUGUGAUUUUGUAUUAUGACAUAAUUGGACGGUCCCCACCGGAAUAGAGAAACCAGAAAAAUAUUCAACUCUAUA